CAUGUCUUUACUGCAAUGCACAGACUCAGCAGCACAGGCACUGAGCUGGAGGCCUGUGCAUCUUGUGCAGUUGACACAGGCAGGAAGCAGGCAGCCUGUGGAGGACCAAAUAACCAGAGUCACUCUUACAUGAUGAGGCAAGAACAGCUGAGCCAACUGACACCCUCCCUUUCUGAUCAGCACUAUGGCCAAUUACACACUGGCCUGUGUUGUUACUGGCCAGUCAGGAGCAGCACCAUCAGAAUUCAACACCAGAUUGAAACUUCCACUUAUCAGCGUUAUUACCUCAGGGAUAACAGUGGUGCUGAUGAAGGUGACACAGUCCCCGCCCUCACAGUCCUGCCCCCCUCCAGUGUGGAGGUGAAGCAGGGGAAGGCCACACUGGUGUGUCUGGCCAACAAGGGCUUCCCGUCAGACUGGACUCUGCACUGGAAAGUGGACGGUACCAGUAGGAGCUCGGGCGUGGCCGGGAGCGCCGGGGUCCUGGGGAAGGACGGCCUGUACAGCUGGAGCAGCUCCCUGACUCUCAGUGCGGACGACUGGAUGAAGGCGGGGUCACUGACCUGUGAGGCCACAAAGGGCUCCCAGUCUGCCCCCCCUCAGACACUGAGGAGAGCUGACUGUGCUGAGUAGGGCGGGUGCAGGCCCAGCUCACACACUCUGAUCACACUGUGUUUACCCUGCUCUGCUCUCAGCCUCUCUGCUCCUUACUGCUGCACACUGAGCUGGGCCUGUGUGUGAAUCCUUCCUCCAGCCUGAGCUGUCACUGCUAAUGUCUCACAUGUGCUCUGCUUGUGUCCUCAACAAAUAUGCAUACCUGCCUUCUUAUUUGUGUUUGUGUGAUUUUGGCAAUAGCUGUUAGAUAAAAUCAUUGAAAUAAUAAAGAUUCUUUGAAA